rnacentral:rRNA from 1 species
AACGUAGGAGACGAGCGUUAUCCGGAUUUACUGGGCGUAAAGCGCGUGCAGGCGGUUAGAUAAGUCACUUGUGAAAGCGCCCGGCUCAACUGGGCGAGGCCGUGUGAGACUGUCUAACUUGAGAGAGGUAGAGGCAAACGGAAUUCCGGGUGGAGUGGUGAAAUGCGUAGAGAUCCGGAGGAACACCAGUGGCGAAGGCGGUUUGCUGGGCCUACUCUGACGCUCAGACGCGACAGCAUGGGGAGCGAAC